AUACGUAGGGGGCUAGCGUUGUUCGGAAUUACUGGGCGUAAAGCGCACGUAGGCGGAUUAAAAAGUUAGAGGUGAAAUCCCAGGGCUUAACCCUGGAACUGCCUUUAAAACUAGUAGUCUAGAGUUCGAGAGAGGUGAGUGGAAUUCCAAGUGUAGAGGUGAAAUUCGUAGAUAUUUGGAGGAACACCAGUGGCGAAGGCGGCUCACUGGCUCGAUACUGACGCUGAGGUGCGAAAGCGUGGGGAGCAAACAGGAUUAGAAACCCUAGUAGUCC
rnacentral:rRNA from 1 species